ACAGACUUGAAAAAUAAUUGUGACUUUAGAUAUGCAAAUGGGUAUUAACAAACUGAAUUACUAAUUCUGACUCUUUCCUCUGAACUAAAGGGACACAUCGGUUGACGUAACUCCUGUGGAGAAUGGAUUUCAUCUUUUGCUGAAGUUUUGCUCCAGCCAAAGCCGGACCUCUUGAAGGUUGUAGAAAAAGGGGCCUUUGCCCCCCAGAGUUGUGCAGUUGACAAAAAUCACAGAAGACCCUUGUUUGGAGUAGAAUAAGGGUGCAGAAGUUCUUCAUUUGUCUUGGGAAGAUGGCAACUUGAAUUACUCAAAUUGGAGAGUAGAGACUAGAAAUGGCUCAGGCUUUCCCAGAGUCUUUUAUUUAA